AGUUCAGUUACACGAGGGCAGCCGCUCACCUGCAUCAGAGCCGUGAGGAGUUUCCUAACGUCUCCGCUCGUGUCGCCCUCGAUAUCGGCUUCCAGGUCCCGUUCAUGCACUGAGGAUAAAAAUAAAUAAAUAUGACUUUUAAUUUGCAACUUGCUUCGUUGGUGGCCGUGCAGAGGAUUUCCACCAGCACAUCUUCGUCGGUUCCCGCCCCCUUCAUCGCCUUCCUCAGCUCCUUCACGGCGUAGACGAGGGGCGUGUCCAGCAUGGCGAUGAUGGCCUUCUCGAAGUUUCCAGUCAACUCGCUCUUCAGGACGUCCACCAGCUCCUGACACAGAGACACAGGACGUUAUGUUUUCACUAAUGUCCAUCUGUCUGUUGGAUGGUGAUGAAAGACAAUGUGGUUUCAUAUGGGGACUGUUGGGCCCUAUUAGAGGUUUACGCUCUAGUUAGUGCUGUGGUCAAGAGAAAGGUAUAGAAAUGGAAGAGAAAUGCAGAUAUAUCAAAAUUAAACUAUAAUGAAAUGGUU